GAUCGCGCUGGACGGUUUUUUAUAAAAACGCUGAUGUUCUUAUUUUUUUUUUUGUUUUCGUGACGUGUUAAAGUGCAGCUAAAAGCGUUGUUUUUGCAUGUAAUUACUCAGGUAAUGAAAAAAAUUUCUACGAAAGGUGACGAAGUGUCCUUAUAUUUAUCCUGC